rnacentral:lncRNA from 1 species
AGAUGGGUCGUUCGACAUUACGUGCGAAUGGAAUUAUGAACCGCUGGUUCAUUCGCAAAGGUGAGUCACGGUGCCGUGGCAUUUUACUUCAUAUUAGAACGAGAAGGAGAGGUGAAGUGUGAACGCACCAGAAAACAAUUGACGGGAGGGGGAAGAAAGGAGAAGGAGUGUAUGUAUUUGCAGCGCGAAAUGAAACAGGUGCGAUCAUA